rnacentral:rRNA from 1 species
GUUACCCAGAAUAGAAUUUCAGUUCAACUUUAAACUUGCCUAACAACUUUAAAAUUAUAAUGUAAGUUUAAAAUAUAAUCUAAAAAGGUACAGCUUUUUAGAACAAGGCUACAACCUUAGUUAGAGAGUAAAACAUAAUAUAACCAUAGUAGGCCUAAGAGCAGCCACCAAUUAAGAAAGCGUUCAAGCUCAACAAUAUUAUCCUCCCAAAAAAUCCCAAAAAUCUUAAUCAACUCCUAAUAUAUCACUGGGUUAAUCUAUUUUAUAAUAGAGGCAAUAAUGCUAACAUGAGUAACAAGAAAUAUUUCUCCUUGCAUAAGCUUAUAACAGUCAACGAAUACCCACUGAUAGUUAACAACACGACAAGAAUAAAUCACCAAUAAAACACUUGUCAAACCAAUUGUUAGCCCAACACAGGUAUGCAUCAAGGAAAGAUCAAAAGAAGUAAAAGGAACUCGGCAAACACAAACCCCGCCUGUUUACCAAAAACAUCACCUCCAGCAUAUCUAGUAUUGGAGGCACUGCCUGCCCAGUGACAUUAGUUAAACGGCCGCGGUAUCCUG